rnacentral:rRNA from 1 species
GGUAUUGAAAUAAGAUUUUAAAUGAGUGCUAAGAGAAUGAUUAAACAAUUAAAAGCUUUCUUUAAUUAAAAAAUUAAAUUUAAUUUUUUUAGUGCAAAAGCAAAAAUAAAAUUUAGGGACAAGAAGACCCUAUGAAUUUUUAUUGUUAAUAAUUAAAAUUUAAGUUAUUAAUAAUUUAAUUGGGGCGAUAAAAAAAGAAUAAGUAUCUUUUUAGUUAUAAAAUAAGUUCCGUUUUUAGCGAUUAAAUGAAAUAAAUACUCUAGGGAUAACAGCGUAAUAAUUUUGGAUAGUUCAUAUAAAUAAAAUAGUUUGCGACCUCGAUGUUGGAUUAGGAUUCUUUUUUGGUGAAGAA